UAAGGACUUGGACUCCGGAGCUCAACGACAAGCUCCCCGAUUAGCGGCAGCGACCUCCGCACAAGCUGGGCAGACCUGUCUGCGCCUCAAUUCCUCCUCCACGAACGGAGAUCCCGGCAGUGCCUCCUCUGCAGGGCUGUCGUGGAACCGCACCGCGGGGAGAACUCACACAGUGCCCGGCACUCAACAACCGUUAGCUGUACACCCAGCCACGAUCUCGCAACGCAGAAACCGCGCGCCUCCCCGCUGCGUGCUCCCGACACCCGGCACAACAUCCGUGCCAAGGAAGGACGAAACGCGCUUGCUUGACUUCUAAGGAGCAAGCCAAGGAGAGCCGGCACGAAUGGGGCACCCCGGGGCUCCGCGGGCGGGUGUCCGGCUUCGCCGUCGGGGCGUCUGGGAGUCUGAGAGUUGAGAACAGAAAGAGCCCUUAACUGCCAUCUCGAAUCCCUACGUUUGUAGUUGAGGAACCUGAAGCUUUGCCGCGAAGUGGCUUGUGCAGACUUCCACAGUCCAGACACAAUGAUGCCUGGAUCUGCAGCAGCCAUCUUGCAGCCACGAGGCAACAUGCUUGAGGAUGAAAAACCAACAGCUGAAAAUGGAAGAAAGAAAGCCGGAGUUGUUGAUGUCAGCAUUGAGCCACUGAACCAAUGUCUGCAACCACCUACCUCUGGAUUAUUGUUAUAGGAGAAGAAAUAUAGCCUUAUUGAUGU